AAAAAUGCACAUACUGUGAGCUCGAUGAGUAGGGCGGGACACGUGGUAUCCUGUCUGAAUAUGGGGGGACCAUCCUCCAAGGCUAAAUACUCCUGACUGACCGAUAGUGAACCAGUACCGUGAGGGAAAGGCGAAAAGAACCCCGGCGAGGGGAGUGAAAAAGAACCUGAAACCGUGUACGUACAAGCAGUGGGAGCACGCUUAGGCGUGUGACUGCGUACCUUUUGUAUAAUGGGUCAGCGACUUAUAUUCUGUAGCAAGGUUAACCGAAUAGGGGAGCCGAAGGGAAACCGAGUCUUAACUGGGCGUUAAGUUGCAGGGUAUAGACCCGAAACCCGGUGAUCUAGCCAUGGGCAGGUUGAAGGUUGGGUAACACUAACUGGAGGACCGAACCGACUAAUGUUGAAAAAUUAGCGGAUGACUUGUGGCUGGGGGUGAAAGGCCAAUCAAACCGGGAGAUAGCUGGUUCUCCCCGAAAGCUAUUUAGGUAGCGCCUCGUGAAUUCAUCUCCGGGGGUAGAGCACUGUUUCGGCAAGGGGGUCAUCCCGACUUACCAACCCGAUGCAAACUGCGAAUACCGGAGAAUGUUAUCACGGGAGACACACGGCGGGUGCUAACGUCCGUCGUGAAGAGGGAAACAACCCAGACCGCCAGCUAAGGUCCCAAAGUCAUGGUUAAGUGGGAAACGAUGUGGGAAGGCCCAGACAGCCAGGAUGUUGGCUUAGAAGCAGCCAUCAUUUAAAGAAAGCGUAAUAGCUCACUGGUCGAGUCGGCCUGCGCGGAAGAUGUAACGGGGCUAAACCAUGCACCGAAGCUGCGGCAGCGACGCUGAUGCGUUGUUGGGUAGGGGAGCGUUCUGUAAGCCUGUGAAGGUGUGCUGUGAGGCAUGCUGGAGGUAUCAGAAGUGCGAAUGCUGACAUAAGUAACGAUAAAGCGGGUGAAAAGCCCGCUCGCCGGAAGACCAAGGGUUCCUGUCCAACGUUAAUCGGGGCAGGGUGAGUCGACCCCUAAGGCGAGGCCGAAAGGCGUAGUCGAUGGGAAACAGGUUAAUAUUCCUGUACUUGGUGUUACUGCGAAGGGGGGACGGAGAAGGCUAUGUUGGCCGGGCGACGGUUGUCCCGGUUUAAGCGUGUAGGCUGGUUUUCCAGGCAAAUCCGGAAAAUCAAGGCUGAGGCGUGAUGACGAGGCACUACGGUGCUGAAGCAACAAAUGCCCUGCUUCCAGGAAAAGCCUCUAAGCAUCAGGUAACAUCAAAUCGUACCCCAAACCGACACAGGUGGUCAGGUAGAGAAUACCAAGGCGCUUGAGAGAACUCGGGUGAAGGAACUAGGCAAAAUGGUGCCGUAACUUCGGGAGAAGGCACGCUGAUAUGUAGGUGAAGCGACUUGCUCGUGGAGCUGAAAUCAGUCGAAGAUACCAGCUGGCUGCAACUGUUUAUUAAAAACACAGCACUGUGCAAACACGAAAGUGGACGUAUACGGUGUGACGCCUGCCCGGUGCCGGAAGGUUAAUUGAUGGGGUCAGCGCAAGCGAAGCUCUUGAUCGAAGCCCCGGUAAACGGCGGCCGUAACUAUAACGGUCCUAAGGUAGCGAAAUUCCUUGUCGGGUAAGUUCCGACCUGCACGAAUGGCGUAAUGAUGGCCAGGCUGUCUCCACCCGAGACUCAGUGAAAUUGAACUCGCUGUGAAGAUGCAGUGUACCCGCGGCAAGACGGAAAGACCCCGUGAACCUUUACUAUAGCUUGACACUGAACAUUGAGCCUUGAUGUGUAGGAUAGGUGGGAGGCUUUGAAGUGUGGACGCCAGUCUGCAUGGAGCCGGCCUUGAAAUACCACCCUUUAAUGUUUGAUGUUCUAACGUUGACCCGUGAUCCGGGUUGCGGACAGUGUCUGGUGGGUAGUUUGACUGGGGCGGUCUCCUCCUAAAGAGUAACGGAGGAGCACGAAGGUUGGCUAAUCCUGGUCGGACAUCAGGAGGUUAGUGCAAUGGCAUAAGCCAGCUUGACUGCGAGCGUGACGGCGCGAGCAGGUGCGAAAGCAGGUCAUAGUGAUCCGGUGGUUCUGAAUGGAAGGGCCAUCGCUCAACGGAUAAAAGGUACUCCGGGGAUAACAGGCUGAUACCGCCCAAGAGUUCAUAUCGACGGCGGUGUUUGGCACCUCGAUGUCGGCUCAUCACAUCCUGGGGCUGAAGUAGGUCCCAAGGGUAUGGCUGUUCGCCAUUUAAAGUGGUACGCGAGCUGGGUUUAGAACGUCGUGAGACAGUUCGGUCCCUAUCUGCCGUGGGCGCUGGAGAACUGAGGGGGGCUGCUCCUAGUACGAGAGGACCGGAGUGGACGCAUCACUGGUGUUCGGGUUGUCAUGCCAAUGGCACUGCCCGGUAGCUAAAUGCGGAAGAGAUAAGUGCUGAAAGCAUCUAAGCACGAAACUUGCCCCGAGAUGAGUUCUCCCUGACUCCUUGAGAGUCCUGAAGGAACGUUGAAGACGACGACGUUGAUAGGCCGGGUGUGUAAGCGCAGCGAUGCGUUGAGCUAACCGGUACUAAUGAACCGUGAGG
rnacentral:rRNA from 1 species